GCACAAUCAUUCACACCUCGUACAAUAAUCUUUUGUACAAAACAUUCACAAAGCAAGCACAUUCACAUCUUCCAUGGUAAUGAAGACAAUCACACAAGCAUAUUAUUGAUUAUUUCAUUUGUAAAUGUGUGUGGGUCAGAGCUGGGAUGGAAGAGGGAAUGUUCAAAGAAGCAGUAAGUAGCUGUGGCAUUUGUGAAAACAGACAGGAAUGCUUUAAUAAAUUAAACAACUAAUAAUAUGCUUGUGUAACUGUCUUAGUUAUCACAGAUCAUUGGUCUGAGUUACAGCUAAGUGGCUUAAAGCAAGAAGAAUGUUACCUGCCUGACUGCAAUGUGCCAACUUUAAAGUUUUGCGGAGGAGGGAUAAUUGCACAAGGCUAUUUUUCAGGGGUAGUGUAGGACCCUUUAUUUCUAGUGAAGGGCAAUUUCAAUGCUUCAGCAUACCAAGACAUUUGAGACAAUGUUAUGCUUCCUAAUCUAUGGGAACAGUUUGGGGGAGGCCCUUUUCUAUUCCAGCUUUACGGUGCCCCAGUGUACAAAGCAAGGUCCAUAAAGACAUGGUUGGAUGAGUUUGGUGUGGAAGAACUUGACUGACCCUCACAGAGCCCUGACCUUAACCGCAUCGAACACCUUUGGGAUGAACUGGAAUGGAGAUUGUGAGCCAGAUCUUCUCAUGCAACAUCAGUACCUGAUCUCACAAAUACUCUACUGGAAGAAUGGGCUAAAUGUCACACAGAAAUACUCCAAAGUCUUGUGAAAAGUCUUCCCAGAAGAAUGGAAGCUGUAUGAGCUGCAAAAUACAAACUCCAUAUUAGUGUGUAUGUAUUUAGAAUGUGAUGUCAUAACAGUCCCUGUUGGUGUAAUGGCCAGGUAUCCCAAUACUUUUGUCCUUAUAGUAUAGCUACCUAUCAAUAUCUCCCUCCAUCCUAUUCUUCAU